rnacentral:rRNA from 1 species
AGCAGCCGCGGUAAUUCCAGCUCCAAUAGCGUAUAUUAAAGUUGUUGCAGUUAAAAAGCUCGUAGUUGAAUUUCGGGGUCAGUAGGUUGGUCGUGCCACUGGUAUGCACUGGCCUUACUGGUUCCUCCCUCUUGUAGAACCGUAAUGCCAUUAAUUUGGUGUUGCGGGGAAACAGGACUGUUACUUUGAAAAAAUUAGAGUGUUUAAAGCAGGCUAACGCUUGAAUACAUUAGCAUGGAAUAAUGAAAUAGGACGUUCGAUCCUAUUUUGUUGGUUUCUAGGAUUGACGUAAUGAUUAAUAGGGAUAGUUGGGGGCAUUAGUAUUCAAUUGUCAGAGGUGAAAUUCUUGGAUUUAUUGAAGACUAACUACUGCGAAAGCAUUUGCCAAGGAUGUUUUCAUUAAUCAAGAACGAAAGUUAGGGGAUCGAAGACGAUCAGAUACCGUCGUAG